CAUGUUAGCCUUUGCGCAUUCUUCCUUCCACAUCCUUGCAUCGUUUUCAGCUUUCAAAUUCCUAUUAUCAUUUCCCAUUUUUAGGUGAGACAUCACUGCAUCGUGUCUAUUUUUCGUCUCCGUGUUCAUCAGCUCAUUGGUUGUAUCCCCAAAGUAUCCUCGCUUCAUUAUGUGAAUAUCAUAGAUUUUGUCAUUGGCCUCCUUCUUAGCAAUUUCCAUUCU
rnacentral:lncRNA from 1 species